rnacentral:rRNA from 1 species
UACGUAGGUCCCGAGCGUUGUCCGGAUUUAUUGGGCGUAAAGCGUGCGCAGGUGGUUUAUUAAGUCUGGUGUAAAAGGCAGUGGCUCAACCAUUGUAUGCAUUGAAAACUGGUAGACUUGAGUGCAGGAGAGGAGAGUGGAAUUCCAUGUGUAGCGGUGAAAUGCGUAGAUAUAUGGAGGAACACCGGUGGCGAAAGCGGCUCUCUGGCCUGUAACUGACACUUAGGCUCGAAAGCGUGGGGAGCAAACAGG